CUCACCUAUAUCAAAUUUUAAUUGAACACCCUUAAAUGUUUUUUAUAUCUGAAAGUAGGUAGUAUUACUGUUUAGUUUAUAAUAAAUAUAAAUCAAAGACAUUUCAUAAGUCUAUUCCACUAAUUUGUGUUUGGAGUUAUACAUCGCUGAUUAUGUUAAAAACAAUAUGGUUUUCUUAUGGUAAUUACAUAAUUAUAUAUAGGUAGAAUUGUCCCUCUAAUGUUGUUUUGAAUGUGAGAGAAAUAGUUAUACAAUUUGCUUGUAUUAGCAGUCAUAUAAUAAUUAAAUUAUAAUUGUAAACAUUUUUAUAUUAUGUAUUUACUAUUGAUUUAAUUAUGAUCAUUGAUAAUAAUUAAUUUCAGACCAAUAGUUGAAUAUAGCUCAAUUCUUUAAGAUCCAUAUAAAUCCUUCGACUCAUACCAACUUGAACGUAUUCACUGUUCAGUGAAUUUACCUUAAUUUUGAUUCUUUCUGUCAUACAACAUAACUUGAACCACAUGAUAAUUUCGCCAUCCUACGAUACUUAAAGAUUAGUAGUUUUUCCAAAAGAAGGUUAUUAAUUAACCUAAAUUAUCUCAACAAACUUGUAAAUAGUUUCAUUAAUGCAUCUGAACCUUUUUCUGGGGUUAAUUUUAGGAUUCCAAGUAGAAUCUCUAGGUUAUCUACUCCCUACUAUAUUUUUCUACAUUUCACUAUCUAUGAUUGUAACACUCCAUUCACCGUAUAAUGCAUCCAGCUAACAAGAACCUCUUCCUUCUAGUCUAUAGUCUAUAAUACCUUUCUAUUACUAUAACUUAAUUUAAUUCUAAACUUUAUACAACUUAUCUUCAUGUUAUUGUACCUUGGACAACCGCUAGUAUUGCCAACAGGUCAGUAUUUCAUUUCAAUAGAUUUAAACAGACAGUUACUUGCCUAUAAAAAGCAGGUAUUUCAAUCCAAUCAACAAGAGAUCAAUAUAAAUAUAUCAUUUUCGGCACCAUUAAAAAUUAUUAAUGCAUUUGUUGAACGCAUUUUCAACAGUUUGAAUAGUUUGGGAGUUGACACAGUUAGAGCCAAAUUAUACGUAAGAGAUAACAUAACACAUACAUGUACUGAGUUCUGUGAAAUAAUUAAAAAUGUAUUAAAUGCUACAAAAAAUACCUCUAAAUAUGUCUUAAUAUAACUUUAAUAAAAAGGUUUAAUUUGUUUUAUUAUUUAAAAAUUGUCCACAUGAAUACUUCUUUAAUGUACCUAGCUAUUAGUAAUAAUG